AGAGUUUGAUCCUGGCUCAGGAUAAACGCUGGCGGCGCACAUAAGACAUGCAAGUCGAACGAACUUAACCAUUAGUUUACUAUUGGAGCGGUUAGUGGCGGACUGGUGAGUAACACGUAAGCAACCUGCCUAUCAGAGGGGAACAACAGUUAGAAAUGACUGCUAAUACCGCAUAUGCCUUGAGUAUCACAUGGUACAAAAGGGAAAGGAGCAAUCCGCUGAUAGAUGGGCUUGCGUCUGAUUAGAUAGUUGGUGAGGUAACGGCCCACCAAGUCGACGAUCAGUAGCCGGACUGAGAGGUUGAACGGCCACAUUGGGACUGAGAUACGGCCCAGACUCCUACGGGAGGCAGCAGUGGGGAAUAUUGCACAAUGGGGGAAACCCUGAUGCAGCAACGCCGCGUGAAGGAUGACGGUUUUCGGAUUGUAAACUUCUUUUCUUAGUGACGAAGACAGUGACGGUAGCUAAGGAAUAAGCAUCGGCUAACUACGUGCCAGCAGCCGCGGUAAUACGUAGGAUGCAAGCGUUAUCCGGAUUUACUGGGUGUAAAGGGAGCGCAGGCGGGACUGCAAGUUGGAUGUGAAAUACCGUGGCUUAACCACGGAACUGCAUCCAAAACUGUAGUUCUUGAGUGAAGUAGAGGCAAGCGGAAUUCCGAGUGUAGCGGUGAAAUGCGUAGAUAUUCGGAGGAACACCAGUGGCGAAGGCGGCUUGCUGGGCUUUAACUGACGCUGAGGCUCGAAAGUGUGGGGAGCAAACAGGAUUAGAUACCCUGGUAGUCCACACUGUAAACGAUGAAUACUAGGUGUGCGGGGACUGACCCCCUGCGUGCCGCAGUAAACACAAUAAGUAUUCCACCUGGGGAGUACGAUCGCAAGGUUGAAACUCAAAGGAAUUGACGGGGGCCCGCACAAGCGGUGGAUUAUGUGGUUUAAUUCGAAGCAACGCGAAGAACCUUACCAGGGUUUGACAUCCUGCUAACGAAGUAGAGAUACAUUAGGUGCCCUUCGGGGAAAGCAGAGACAGGUGGUGCAUGGUUGUCGUCAGCUCGUGUCGUGAGAUGUUGGGUUAAGU
rnacentral:rRNA from 1 species